GACAGAGGGUGCAAACGUUGUUCGGAAUUACUGGGCGUAAAGCGCGUGUAGGCGGCCCUGCAAGUCGGAUGUGAAAUCCCACGGCUCAACCGUGGAAGUGCAUUCGAAACUGCAGGGCUAGAGUCCUGGAGAGGAAGGUGGAAUGCUUGGUGUAGAGGUGAAAUUCGUAGAUAUCAAGCGGAACACCGGUGGCGAAGGCGGCCUUCUGGGACAGUGACUGACGCUGAGACGCGAAAGCGUGGGGAGCAAACAGGG
rnacentral:rRNA from 1 species